rnacentral:rRNA from 1 species
UACGGAGGGUGCAAGCGUUAUCCGGAUUCACUGGGUUUAAAGGGUGCGUAGGUGGGUCUGUAAGUCAGUGGUGAAAUCUCCGUGCUUAACAUGGAAACUGCCAUUGAUACUAUAGGUCUUGAAUUUUCUGGAGGUAAGCGGAAUAUGUCAUGUACCGGUGAAAUGCUUAGAUAUGACAUAGAACACCAAUUGCGAAGGCAGCUUACUACGGGAACAUUGACACUGAGGCACGAAAGCGUGGGGAUCAAACAGG